rnacentral:rRNA from 1 species
UACGAAGGGGGCUAGCGUUGUUCGGAGUUACUGGGCGUAAAGCGCGCGCAGGCGGCUUUUCAAGUCAGUGGUGAAAGCCCGGAGCUCAACUCCGGAACUGCCAUUGAAACUGUAAAGCUUGAGUACGAGAGAGGUGAGUGGAAUUCCCAGUGUAGAGGUGAAAGUCGUAGAGAUUGGGAAGAACACCGGUGGCGAAGGUGGCUCACUGGCUCGUUACUGACGCUCAGGCGCGACAGCGUGGGGAUCAAACAGG